UCAAGAGUGAUUUGUGUGUUUUCAGUUUUCUCUCAUUCUCGUCCAACUUUAGAAGCAAAAUACCAUUUUUUUCUCAACCCAAACACUAUUCUUAUGCAUCCAAGGGAAUGAAAGAUUCAAGGAAACUCUUUUGGAGAUCAAAAUGCUAGGAGAUCCACAAAUGGAGAUUGCCAAAUUGUUUCGGUACUUGAAAACAAGGUCUUCGGUGGCUGAGUUCAUGGUGGCUUAAGGGUAUUAGGUAGUUGUAUUUGUGGUUGUAGCGACGUAGCUCGAGGUGAGGAACAAACUCCUCUAUUUCAGAAACUAGAAAACAGAGAUGCUGCGGAUCUCUCUCUUCAUGGUGGCCGUGUGGUUGGGUUUGCAUGGAGGGUAUGCAGUGGAGGAGGGAGAGUCUAUCAUGCUACUAUGAGCUUGUCGUGAGUGAAGGUAGUAGCACUGGUUUGUUGUCCAUGGUGAUUGAGCUGAAAGUGAUCUUAGUUGAGAUGAGUUGUGGUAGCUGCAGAAGACAAAAGGCAAGCUAUGAGGCUGGACGAGGUGGUUCUGAAAUGGUGGAGUCAAUGAUAACCUCUUGCUAUUGGUGGUACAAGUCAUAGAUGACACUGUGGCCAGGUGAUGGCCGAAUGGAGAAGGUAGGCAUCGGUUUUGUGGCUCAUGAGAUGCAUGCUUGCUGUUCUGUUUUGACAUACUUGAAAUGAAGGUCUACAAGCUGCCCAUGGGCUGGGCGAUGCUUGGUUUUCAUGUUGUAGUUAUGAGUUGAUUCAUCGUGUUGCUUGUCCUUGCCAGUGUAUUUUUGGAUUUUCGGUGUUUUAAAUUUUUAAUGUUGUGAUGUUGUUUGUGGUAAUUUGUGUUUAGGUAAAAAUAAAUAGAAAUAGGCUAUUGGACUUGUUGUCCCAGCAGGAGAGCCCUUUCUUCUUAUGGAGGAUGAGUUGAGAUACCCUCUCCUCUUUUGGAUGGUGGAGAUGGAUAUCUUUGUUUAUACAGAAUUGUAUUUUCUCAGAUAAAUCGAGAUGGAUAUCUCUGUUGUUAUA